rnacentral:lncRNA from 1 species
GCAAGCAUUCCGGGCUGGGUUAUCACAGUGCAAGAUUCAUUCUGUGACCUCUGGCGGGCAAUGCUGUGGAGUCAGCAGCUGUUGUCACCAACCUCCUCCUCAGUUGCCCAGCAGGUGAGGAGCCUCCUACCAUGACCUUGGCCUCCUCCCCUGGGCAGGUUGAGGCCUGAGCACCUGUGGGCCUCACCUUCCUGCCAAGCUGAUUCUAGGCCUCACCAGUCCCAGGCUUCACCUUCCCACCAAGCCCACCCCAGCUGCACAAAUUCCAGGCCUCACCUUCCCACCAAGCCUGCCCUAGGCGUCCCUUAUGCUGAGCAGAAGGAGUGUGAGGUGCAGCAGGUGGAGAGAGAAGUCCCAGCCCCAGCCGGAGCAGGGGAGGAGCGCCCAGCACCGGGUGCUGGCAGUGGGGAUGGCCCCGACCAGAACACUUGCCACCGGCGUGCCAUCUUGGCGGCAGGGCCAGCGGACUCUACCGUUUUCCUGCUGAGAGUGAUAGGGCUCCCUGAUGAGCAUGGUAACCAGCCUCAUCAUUACUGGCCCUUCGCCACCAGUGACCUUUACAACUGGCAUACUCAACACACCAAAUUCUCUGAUAACCCUAGAGAUUUAAUUAACCUAUUAGAAACUGUUCUGUUUACUCAUCAGCCCACUUGAGAUGACUGUCAACAACUUCUUCAGAUCCUGUUUACCACAGAGGAACGAGAGAGAAUCCAAAAUGAAGCCAAUAAAUUGGUUCCUGG